rnacentral:rRNA from 1 species
CAGUCGCCGCGGUAACACGUAGGUGGCAAGCGUUGUCCGGAAUUAUUGGGCGUAAAGGGCUCGCAGGCGGUUUCUUAAGUCUGAUGUGAAAGCCCCCGGCUCAACCGGGGAGGGUCAUUGGAAACUGGGAAACUUGAGUGCAGAAGAGGAGAGUGGAAUUCCACGUGUAGCGGUGAAAUGCGUAGAGAUGUGGAGGAACACCAGUGGCGAAGGCGACUCUCUGGUCUGUAACUGACGCUGAGGAGCGAAAGCGUGGGGAGCGAACAGGAUUAGAUACCCCUGUAGUCCCUGUCUCUUAUAC